GAUGAACGCUGGCGGCGUGCUUAACACAUGCAAGUCGAACGAUGAAGCCCAGCUUGCUGGGUGGAUUAGUGGCGAACGGGUGAGUAACACGUGAGUAACCUGCCCUUAACUCUGGGAUAAGCCUGGGAAACUGGGUCUAAUACCGGAUAGGAGCGUCCACCGCAUGGUGGGUGUUGGAAAGAUUUAUCGGUUUUGGAUGGACUCGCGGCCUAUCAGCUUGUUGGUGAGGUAAUGGCUCACCAAGGCGACGACGGGUAGCCGGCCUGAGAGGGUGACCGGCCACACUGGGACUGAGACACGGCUCAGACUCCUACGGGAGGCAGCAGUGGGGAAUAUUGCACAAUGGGCGCAAGCCUGAUGCAGCGACGCCGCGUGAGGGAUGACGGCCUUCGGGUUGUAAACCUCUUUCAGUAGGGAAGAAGCGAAAGUGACGGUACCUGCAGAAGAAGCACCGGCUAACUACGUG
rnacentral:rRNA from 1 species